rnacentral:misc_RNA from 1 species
CUUUCUGUCCGCCGGUAUACACAACUUAGCACUCAUCGUUCCCGAAGAAGUCGCGGUGCGGGAGUACGUAUUCCCUGUCGCUCGUGCACACAAUACUACUGAAUUCUCGAAAGGCUUGAGAAGCCGUGUAGGUGCACUGCCGUACACUGACACCCACACAAACACCAAAAACGCGAACAAAACACACACACACACACUGUGUGCCUAGUACAGUUUUUUCUUUCCGUUUGCUUCCGACGUCUACCGACGUUUCAAUUCGAAACGUGUUUGUCUCACUCUCUUUUGCCCUUCUGUCACUCUGGUGUGUCUGGAUUUCUCUUUUCUAUUUCCCUCUUGGUUUGUCCUUACGCUGUGAUUAUUGUGCCUUUUUCCUUUGUUGUGCGUCGCGGCCAACAAGGGAGUAUCUGUGCGUCACAUUACACGUCGCCUCACUUGCAGCUGCUGCACACGCACAUUUCAAAAAAAAAAACCUCGCUGCCCGCGCAGACCCUCUCUCUCCCCUCCUCUCUCCUCGCCUUUGCUUUCAG